CCAAUCAGUGCCAUCUUAGAGUUGCCUCACUCACUCCCUGAUCCACCAGCUUGCAGCAGAGGCCACUCCCUGACCCUCCAGCUCGCGGCCUCUACCGUUCCCUGACCCACUGGCUCAUGACUUACCUCCGGCGAGCUGAAGCUGCUCCUCCUGCCUGCUGCCGCUCACCUCCAGAGCUCUCACUCACAGCGAGGAUUCAGGAGAGGGAAGUGGUGAGCAAGUGUGUCGGGCAGCAGAAGUAUCAGCAAGAGAAAAGACCGGGAGCGGCAGAGGCCACAAGACUGAAGGGUUAACGAAAAGUCUCCAUCUCAAGUCUUCAAUGAUUCCCUGUAGUGACAUUUGAAACAAUAAAAGCGGCAGAAAUAAUAGUCAAGCAGAAAGUUCAGCAUGUAUCUGGAUCCAACAGAGGGUGCUGGUGAAAAGUGACUGAAGCAUUCUGGGAGAAGUCAGCGCAGUCACCACGACUCAGGAGGGAAUCGAGGAGAAG